UACGUAGGGUGCGAGCGUUGUCCGGAAUUAUUGGGCGUAAAGGGCUCGUAGGCGGUUUGUCGCGUCGGGAGUGAAAACUCAGGGCUUAACCCUGAGCCUGCUUCCGAUACGGGCAGACUAGAGGUAUGCAGGGGAGAACGGAAUUCCUGGUGUAGCGGUGAAAUGCGCAGAUAUCAGGAAGAACACCCGUGGCUAAGGCGGCUCUCUAGUACGGUACUGACGCUGAGACGCGAAAGCGUGGGGAGCAAACAGG
rnacentral:rRNA from 1 species